GUGCUUGCUUCAGCAGCACAUAUACUAAAAGUGGAACAAUACAGAGAAGAUUAGCAUGGCCCCUGUGCAAGGAUGACAUGCAAAUUCGUGGAGAGUUCCCUAUUAAA
rnacentral:snRNA from 1 species